UAGUAACUGCGAGUGAAGCGGGAAAAGCUCAAAUUUAAAAUCUGGCGGUCUCUGGCCGUCCGAGUUGUAAUCUAGAGAAGUAAUGCCCGCGCUGGACCGUGUACAAGUCUCCUGGGAUGGAGCAUCAUAGAGGGUGAGAAUCCCGUCUCUGACACGGACUACCAGGGCUUUGUGGUAUGCUCUCAAAGAGUCGAGUUGUUUGGGAAUGCAGCUCAAAAUGGGUGGUAAAUUCCAUCUAAAGCUAAAUAUUGGCGAGAGACCGAUAGCGAACAAGUACCGUGAGGGAAAGAUGAAAAGAACUUUGGAAAGAGAGUUAAACAGUACGUGAAAUUGCUGAAAGGGAAACGCUUGAAGUCAGUCGCGUUGGCCAGGAAUCAGCCUCGCUUUUGCGUGGUGUACUUUCUGGUUGAUGGGUCAGCAUCAAUUUUGACCACUGGAAAAAGGCCUGGGGAAUGUGGCAGCUUCGGCUGUGUUAUAGCCCCUGGUUGCAUACAGUGGUUGGGAUUGAGGAACUCAGCACGCCGCAAGGCCGGGUUUCGACCACGUUCGUGCUUAGGAUGCUGGCAUAAUGGCUUUAAGCGACCCGUCUUGAAACACGGACCAAGGAGUCUAACAUGCCUGCGAGUAUUUGGGUGGAAAACCCGAGUGCGUAAUGAAAGUGAAAGUUGAGAUCCCUGUCGUGGGGAGCAUCGACGCCCGGACCAGAACUUUUGGGACGGAUCCGCGGUAGAGCAUGUAUGUUGGGACCCGAAAGAUGGUGAACUAUGCCUGAAUAGGGUGAAGCCAGAGGAAACUCUGGUGGAGGCUCGUAGCGAUUCUGACGUGCAAAUCGAUCGUC
rnacentral:rRNA from 1 species